rnacentral:rRNA from 1 species
UAACACAUGCAAGUCGAACGGAGCUGUUUUCUCUGAAGUUUUCGGAUGGAAGAGAGUUCAGCUUAGUGGCGAACGGGUGAGUAACACGUGAGCAACCUGCCUUUCAGUGGGGGACAACAUUUGGAAACGAAUGCUAAUACCGCAUAAGACCACAGUGUCGCAUGGCACAGGGGUCAAAGGAUUUAUCCGCUGAAAGAUGGGCUCGCGUCCGAUUAGCUAGAUGGUGAGGUAACGGCCCACCAUGGCGACGAUCGGUAGCCGGACUGAGAGGUUGAACGGCCACAUUGGGACUGAGACACGGCCCAGACUCCUACGGGAGGCAGCAGUGGGGAAUAUUGCACAAUGGGGGAAACCCUGAUGCAGCGACGCCGCGUGGAGGAAGAAGGUCUUCGGAUUGUAAACUCCUGUCCCAGGGGACGAUAAUGACGGUACCCUGGGAGGAAGCACCGGCUAACUACGUGCCAGCAGCCGCGGUAAAACGUAGGGUGCAAGCGUUGUCCGGAAUUACUGGGUGUAAAGGGAGCGCAGGCGGAUUGGCAAGUUGGGAGUGAAAUCUAUGGGCUCAACCCAUAAAUUGCUUUCAAAACUGUCAGUCUUGAGUGGUGUAGAGGUAGGCGGAAUUCCCGGUGUAGCGGUGGAAUGCGUAGAUAUCGGGAGGAACACCAGUGGCGA